GUUGGCUAUGGAGACAUGAGACCCAUUACCGUUGGAGGGAAAAUAGUCGGCUCCUUGUGUGCUAUUGCUGGCGUUUUGACCAUUGCCUUGCCGGUCCCCGUUAUCGUGUCCAAC
rfam:Lepisosteus oculatus linkage group LG8, whole genome shotgun sequence.